CAAGCAAACGACAUCGUUAUUACCGCCGCGCCGCGCCGCGCCGCGCCGGAAGGAUGAAAAUACGGUCGGCCGAUUGGCCAUUGCACUCGACGAUGCACCGCGAGACAGAAUCGACCCUCCACCUUCUCUCUCCUCUGCUCGUUUUGCCUUUUUUUUCUUAGUGACUGUGUAACCACUCCCUGCCCGGUUCUGUCGGACGUUCGCCACAGUUCACCGUCUGCAAGAACGCACCGACCUACCGUGAAUCGUCACGCACGAUCGACGCAAUCGGUACAACACAUCGGUUAUAGUUUGUUCUUCUUUCUUCACGACGGUUGAGCUCCCAGUGAUUUAUAAAAUUGACACGAGAAUAAAAAAUCAAAAAAUCGUGGCAAAACUUCGUAAAAUGGGCAAUGAGUGGAUUUGCGGAAUGAGGAACGACCCCUUGAACGAUAAUCUUUUUCAGUAUUGUGGCGAGAGAAAAGUGGUUUCUAUGUCACUGACGAGGAAAUACCAACAACGCAAGCGCGGUACGUUUAAGAAAAAUCCAUCCUGUACAUUGGAUCGAAGGUAAAUUUUUGACUAUGUCCCAACAAUGCUCAAUACGAUUUAUGAUGGUGGGGGUUCAGAUUAAUCGUAUCGAAGAUAUAUCGAAGGUUACCAAGAUGACCUUCACUAAUGCAGUCGACUAAACCAAGAAUACAUCUUUCAUUCAAGAUCACGGCCAAUAUAUUGUAAUGGAAAUGACCUUUAUCGACUGGGAGAUCUCAUCGCGAUUUACAGUCUGGCGAGCGUCUGCGCGCGAUCGGCGGAUCGUAAUGUUCGAUCACGGUCACAAUUCGCGCCUAUUCGAGCAACUAAAAAAGACGAAUAACACACCAUGAAAUGUGAACAACACACGCAAGUAAAAAAGGAGACAAAGAAGAGGAAGAUAAAAGGUCAAAGGCGAACCUACUUCAACGACUUGGAGAUCAGAGACUAAACAAGUUCUUUUUUUACAUGCCGAGUUUGGACGGAGAAGCAUUCUUGUGACAAUCUUAAACAUUAGUUCACAGAUUGUAUCCGUCCAAAAGUAUAACAUUUUAU